rnacentral:rRNA from 1 species
UACAGAGGGUGCGAGCGUUGUUGGAAUUACUGGGCGUAAAGAGCGUGUAGGCGGUCUAGCAAGUCAGAUGUGAAAGCCCAGAGCCUAACUCUGGAAGUGCAUUUGAAACUGCUAGGCUUGAGUGAUGUAGAGGUUGGCGGAAUACCCAGUGUAGAGGUGAAAUUCGUAGAUAUUGGGUAGAACACCGGUGGCGAAGGCGGCCAACUGGGCAUUAACUGACGCUGAGACGCGAAAGCGUGGGGAGCAAACAGG